ACAAGGACAGCUCGGUGGCACCGAGGUGACACUGAGUUGACACUGAUGGGGACAGUGACACCGCUGAGGACACACAUUUUGUCCCCUGGUCCCUGAAGUGCCACCACAACAGGAGCCGUGUCCCCAGGGGUGGCACCACGGCCACCAAGAGAGCCCCAGGGGACAGCCCGGGGUGUCCCUGUCCCUGCGGGUGACACCGUGACCCCGUGGGUGACACCGUGACCCCGAGGUGACACCGUGACCCCGAGGUGACACCAGCCAAUGCCUGUCCCCGUGAGUGACACCACAUCACUGUGGGUGACACCGUGACCACAGCGGUGACACCGUGACCCCGCAGGUGGCACUGUGGGUGACACCACGUUCCUGUGGGUGACACUGUGAGCCCACUGGUGACAACCACGUCCCUGUGGGUGACACCACCUCCCCACGGGUGACCCUGUGGGUGACACCAACCAAUGCCUGUCCCCACGGGUGACACCGCAUCACUGUGGGUGACACCGUGACCCCGCG